rnacentral:rRNA from 1 species
CGACUACAUGAAGCUGGAAUCGCUAGUAAUCGCGGAUCAGAAUGCCGCGGUGAAUACGUUCCCGGGUCUUGUACACACCGCCCGUCACACCAUGGGAGUCGGAAAUGCCCGAAGUCUGUGACCCAACCUACGGGAGGGAGCAGCCGAAGGCAGGUCGGAUGACUGGGGUGAAGUCGUAACAAGGUACC